UAAGGAGUUUGAGGUCUUCAACCCUGCUCCUGGACAAUUUAGUUCCAACCCUAAUCAAACACCCCGGAACCAGUUAAUCAAGCUCUUCAAGACCACAUGAAAAUCACAGCCAGAGUGUAACACACGGACACUGGGACAGAAGGUCAAAUGGGAUGGGGAUAUCCAGGGCCGUCGGUGGGGUGACCAGGGGGACAGACACGUUGCACACACCUCAGAGUUCACACAGGAGAGGGGAACUUGGAGAAUGGAAUGCUGAAGACACUCGGGAGAGACGCUGGAGAGACACAGGGAUCUAGGAGAGGAAUCAAUGAAAGGUAAGUAGCAAGGUUUGUAUUGAGUCUGUACAGGUAGCUUUACAACAGGAGAGGUUCCGUUAUGCAGCUAUGAGAUCAUUCGAUGAGUGUGACUGAGGUGUGUGCUUUUAUGUGGAGGUGAGCUGAUGGGGUAAUGGUGCACAGGUGCCGGUGAUUAGAAUUCAGGUGAGGGAGUGCAUUGGGAUUGGCUGAUUGGUGAGCCUGACCGACUUGUGACACAGAGCAGAUUGGAAAUAAAUGUUGCAGGCCAGUGGGACUCUAGGGGCUCAUUUAUAAAGCGUAUGUACUCACAGAUUAGAUUCUACAGUGUGCGUACGCUAAAGUCCAUGGCAACGUUUAUAUUUAGAAAAAUGUCUUUGACGUGGAAAAGUAGGCCUACUUACUGACACUUCUGGGUCUGAGCAGUCGUACGCACUUUUCCUUGUGGCAAAGUCGGAGUACUGCAGGGCUCCCACGUUUGAGUGUCAUACUCAUGGAUUCAAGGCCUGGAAAUUGAAAGCAAAUAUAGGUCCUUUAAAGUGC